UCCUGACAGCGGCAUGACGCGGCUGACUUAACCCAAGACAGGAGAAACUCAUG
rnacentral:sRNA from 12 species